UACGUAGGCAGCGAGCGUUGUUCGGAAUUACUGGGCGUAAAGAGUGUGUAGGCGGUGCUCUAAGUUCGGUGUGAAAUCUCCCGGCUUAACUGGGAGGGUGCGCUACAGACUGCAUGGCUAGAGUGUGGGAGAGGAAAGUGGAAUUCCUGGUGUAGCGGUGAAAUGCGUAGAUAUCAGGAGGAACACCGGUGGUGUAAACGGCUUUCUGGACCAUAACUGACGCUGAUGCACGAAAGCGUGGGUAGCAAACAGG
rnacentral:rRNA from 1 species